rnacentral:rRNA from 1 species
GUGGGGAAUCUUGCGCAAUGGGCGAAAGCCUGACGCAGCCAUGCCGCGUGAAUGAUGAAGGUCUUAGGAUUGUAAAAUUCUUUCACCGGGGACGAUAAUGACGGUACCCGGAGAAGAAGCUCCGGCUAACUUCGUGCUAGCAGCCGCGGUAGUAAGAAGGGGGCUAGCGUUGCUCUGAAUUACUGGGCGUAAAGGGCGCGUAGGCGGACAGCUUAGUCAGAGGUGAAAGCCCAGGGCUCAACCUUGGAAUUGCCUUUGAUACUGGCUGUCUUGAGUUUGGGAGAGGUGAGUGGAACUCCGAGUGUAGAGGUGAAAUUCGUAGAUAUUCGGAAGAACACCAGUGGCGAAGGCGACUCACUGGCCCAAUACUGACGCUGAGGCGCGAAAGCGUGGGGAGCAAACAGGAUUAGAUACCCGAGUAGUCC